UUCUGUCACUUUUUCUUCCCUCUUAGCCAUAAAGUGGUUGUGCGGCUGCAUACUUAUCUUCCACACAGGAAACAAAGAAGUAGUGAGUGUUGUCACCCACUGUUGAGCACUGCGGUUUAAAAAAUGAUGACACUUGAGGGAGGCCAAAGCAGGACGGGUUUGUGUGUGUGUAUUGUUAUCCCAAAGAUGCUGCAGGUCAACGGCACACAUUUGUUAUUUACUAAAACUAAUUCUGUGCAUGUUUAGGGGGGAAAGCGUGCGUUCCUUCGUCUGCUAAUGCAUCAUGACAGUAUCUGUUCAGUUUUCCGUGAGGACAACAUGCUACAAUUCUGACCCAUGUGGAGCACGGCUCCUCUGUGGAGGCUCAUUAGUGCCAUUAGGAGGUCAUUACUGAAGCCCGGAGGAAUGUUCCAGACCACAGCAGGAGCUAUGCAUUCAGGUGUAUCUUUCUGCUGAACCCCUGACCUGGAAAAGCAUGGGACCUUGGCACAGGGUACGUUGGAAGAGGUGAGCUGCAGGGGAUAUCUUCUGAAGACCCCCACCCUGGAUCCUACAGCAAUUUCUGCCAAUGUGUGGGACGACAGUGAUAAUGAAGAACAAAAUA